rnacentral:tRNA from 1 species
UAGGUCUCUCGUAUAGUGGUAUUAUCCUGAGCUCCAACCUCAGUGACGUGGGUUCGAUUCCUACGGGGCCUGCCAA